GUGGGGAAUAUUGGACAAUGGGCGAAAGCCUGAUCCAGCCAUGCCGCGUGUGUGAAGAAGGUCUUCGGAUUGUAAAGCACUUUAAGUUGGGAGGAAGGGUAGUAACCUAAUACGUUGCUACUUUGACGUUACCGACAGAAUAAGCACCGGCUAACUUCGUGCCAGCAGCCGCGGUAAUACGAAGGGUGCAAGCGUUAAUCGGAAUGACUGGGCGUAAAGCGCGCGUAGGUGGUUCAGUAAGUUGGAAGUGAAAUCCCCGGGCUCAACCUGGUAACUACUUUCAUAACUGCUGCGCUAGAGUACGGUAGAGUGUGGUGGAAUUUCCUGUGUAGCGGUGAAAUGCGUAGAUAUAGGAAGGAACACCAGUGGCGAAGGCGACCACCUGGACUGAUACUGACACUGAGGUGCGAAAGCGUGGGGAGCAAACAGGAUUAGAAACCCGGGUAGUCC
rnacentral:rRNA from 1 species